AACGAACGCUGGCGGCAUGCCUAACACAUGCAAGUCGAACGAGACCUUCGGGUCUAGUGGCGCACGGGUGCGUAACGCGUGGGAACCUGCCCUUAGGUUCGGAAUAACUCCCCGAAAGGGGUGCUAAUACCGGAUAAUGUCUUCGGACCAAAGAUUUAUCGCCUUUGGAUGGGCCCGAGUUGGAUUAGCUAAUUGGUAGGGUAAAAGCCUACCAAGGCGACGAUCCAUAGCUGGUCUGAGAGGCUGAUCAGCCACACUGGGACUGAGACACGGCCCAGACUCCUACGGGAGGCAGCAGUGGGGAAUAUUGGACCAUGGGCGAAAGCCUGAUCCAGCAAUGCCGCGUGAGUGAUGAAGGCCUUAGGGUUGUAAAGCUCUUUUACCCGGGAUGAUAAUGACAGUACCGGGAGAAUAAGCUCCGGCUAACUCCGUG
rnacentral:rRNA from 1 species